CGGGGGGGGCAAGCGUUGUUCGGAAUUACUGGGCGUAAAGGGUGCGUAGGCGGCUCUCUAAGUCGGAUGUGAAAACUCUGGGCUCAACCCAGAGCCUGCAUCUGAAACUGGAGGGCUAGGGUUUUGGAGGGGAAAGCGGAAUUCCAGGUGUAGCGGUGAAAUGCGUAGAUAUCUGGAGGAACACCGGUGGCGAAGGCGGCUUUCUGGACAAAUACCGACGCUGAGGCACGAAAGCUAGGGGAGCAAACAGGAUUAGAUACCCUGGUAGUCCUAGCCCUAAACUAUGGAUACUUGCUGUGGGGGGAUUGAAGCCCCUUGUGGCGAAGCUAACGCAUUAAGUAUCCCGCCUGGGGAGUACGGUCGCAAGGCUG
rnacentral:rRNA from 1 species